rnacentral:rRNA from 1 species
AACGGCCGCGGGAUUCUCCACCGUGCAAAGGUAGCAUAAUCACUUGUCCCCUAAAUAGCGACUAGUAUGAAUGGCCAAAUGAAGAUUUACCUGUCUCUUGUAGUUAAUCUGUAAAACUGAUCUUUCAGUCCAAAAGCUGAAAUAAAAACACAAGACGAAAAGACCCUGUGGAACUUUUAAACUGCCGCCACCACCAUGGCCCAGCCGCUUUCAGUUGGGGCAACUUUGGAAAUAAGCAAAACUUCCAAUCAAGGAGACCACAUCCACCUAGAGGUUAACACACCGACAACACCCUCCUAAACUGAUCCAGUACUACUGACCAAAGAAACAAGCUACCCCAGGGAUAACAGCGCCAUCCCCUCCUAGAGUCCCAAUCGAAGAGCGGGGCUUACGACCUCGAUGUUGGAUCAGGGCCCCCAAACAGUGCAGCAGCUGU